rnacentral:tRNA from 1 species
GAUUCCGUAGCUCAGCUGGGAGAGCGCUACCUUGACAGGGUAGAGGUCGCUGGUUCGAGCCCCAGUCGGAAUCA